CGAGCGGUAGAGAGGUGCUUGCACCUCUUGAGAGCGGCGGACGGGUGAGUAAUGCCUAGGAAUCUGCCUGGUAGUGGGGGAUAACGCUCGGAAACGGACGCUAAUACCGCAUACGUCCUACGGGAGAAAGCAGGGGACCUUCGGGCCUUGCGCUAUCAGAUGAGCCUAGGUCGGAUUAGCUAGUUGGUGAGGUAAUGGCUCACCAAGGCGACGAUCCGUAACUGGUCUGAGAGGAUGAUCAGUCACACUGGAACUGAGACACGGUCCAGACUCCUACGGGAGGCAGCAGUGGGGAAUAUUGGACAAUGGGCGAAAGCCUGAUCCAGCCAUGCCGCGUGUGUGAAGAAGGUCUUCGGAUUGUAAAGCACUUUAAGUUGGGAGGAAGGGCAGUUACCUAAUACGUAAUUGUUUUGACGUUACCGACAGAAUAAGCACCGGCUAACUCUGUGCCAGCAGCCGCGGUAAUACAGAGGGUGCAAGCGUUAAUCGGAAUUACUGGGCGUAAAGCGCGCGUAGGUGGUUCGUUAAGUUGGAUGUGAAAUCCCCGGGCUCAACCUGGGAGCUGCAUUCAAAACUGACGAGCUAGAGUAUGGUAGAGGGUGGUGGAAUUUCCUGUGUAGCGGUGAAAUGCGUAGAUAUAGGAAGGAACACCAGUGGCG
rnacentral:rRNA from 1 species